rnacentral:rRNA from 1 species
GUCCUUUUGUUGAUAAUUUAAGGUCUAGCCUGCCCACUGAAAUUUUAAAUGGCCGUGGUAUUUUGACCGUGCUAAGGUAGCAUAAUCAUUAGUUUUUUAAUUAAAAACUGGAAUGAAAGGUUGGAUAAGAAAAUAGCUGUCUCUGUUAAAUUUAAUUAGAAUUUUAUUUUUAAGUUAAAAAGCUUAAUUAUUAUUAAAAGACGAGAAGACCCUAUAGAGUUUGAUUAUUUGAUAAAAAUUAUAUUUUAGUAUUUAUUUAUUUAUUUUAUUAAAUAAUUUAAUUGGGGUGAUUGAAAAAUUUAAUUAACUUUUUUUAUUUAGAAACAUUAAUUUAUGAAUGAAUGAUCCAAUAUUUUUGAUUAUAAGAUAAAAUUACCUUAGGGAUAACAGCGUAAUUUUUUUAGAAAGUUCAUAUUAAAAAAAAAGAUUGCGACCUCGAUGUUGGAUUAAAAUAAAUUUUUGGUGUAGAAGCUAAAAUAUUAGGUCUGUUCGACCUUUAAAAUUUUACAUGAUCU